rnacentral:rRNA from 1 species
UGGGGUGACUGCGUACCUUUUGUAUAAUGGGUCAGCGACUUAUAUUCUGUAGCAAGGUUAACCGAAUAGGGGAGCCGGAGGGAAACCGAGUCUUAACCGGGCGUUAAGUUGCAGGGUAUAGACCCGAAACCCGGUGAUCUAGCCAUGGGCAGGUUGAAGGUUGGGUAACACUAACUGGAGGACCGAACCGACUAAUGUUGAAAAAUUAGCGGAUGACCUGUGGCUGGGGGUGAAAGGCCAAUCAAACCGGGAGAUAGCUGGUUCUCCCCGAAAGCUAUUUAGGUAGCGCCUCGUGAAUUCAUCUCCGGGGGUAGAGCACUGUUUCGGCUAGGGGGCCAUCCCGGCUUACCAACCCGAUGCAAACUGCGAAUACCGGAGAAUGUUAUCACGGGAGACACACGGCGGGUGCUAACGUCCGUCGUGAAGAGGGAAACAACCCAGACCGCCAGCUAAGGUCCCAAAGUCAUGGUUAAGUGGGAAACGAUGUGGGAAGGCCCAGACAGCCAGGAUGUUGGCUUAGAAGCAGCCAUCAUUUAAAGAAAGCGUAAUAGCUCACUGGUCGAGUCGGCCUGCGCGGAAGAUGUAACGGGGCUAAACCAUGCACCGAAGCUGCGGCAGCGACACUCAGGUGUUGUUGGGUAGGGGAGCGUUCUGUAAGCCUGUGAAGGUGGCCUGUGAGGGUUGCUGGAGGUAUCAGAAGUGCGAAUGCUGACAUAAGUAAC